GUUUAGCCCAGAUUGAACGGUUUGUUUGAGCUCUUUUUAGUUGUAAAUUUUAAAAAAAUUUACAACUAAAAAAGCGAGUAGUGAAAGCUGGAAAUAGC
rnacentral:misc_RNA from 1 species